AUUGAACGCUGGCGGCAGGCCUACACAUGCAAGUCGAGCGGAGCGGCGGACGGGUGAGUAAUGCCUAGGAAUCUGCCUGGUAGUGGGGGAUAACGUCCGGAAACGGGCGCGAAUCACGCAUCCUAUCAGAUGAGCCUAGGUCGGAUUAGCUAGUUGGUGGGGUAAAGGCCUACCAAGGCGACGAUCCGUAACUGGUCUGAGAGGAUGAUCAGUCACACUGGAACUGAUGAACGGUCCAGACUCCUACGGGAGGCAGCAGUGGGGAAUAUUGGACAAUGGGCGAAAGCCUGAGCCAGCCAUGCCGCGUGUGUGAAGAAGGUCUUCGGAUUGUAAAGCACUUUUGGCAGGAAAGCGGUACCUGCAGAAUAAGCACCGGCUAACUCCGUGCCAGCAGCCGCGGUAAUAC
rnacentral:rRNA from 1 species